rnacentral:rRNA from 1 species
CCUACGGGUGGCAGCAGUGAGGAAUAUUGGUCAAUGGGCGAGAGCCUGAACCAGCCAAGUAGCGUGAAGGAUGACUGCCCUACGGGUUGUAAACUUCUUUUAUAAAGGAAUAAAGUGAGGCACGUGUGCCUUUUUGUAUGUACUUUAUGAAUAAGGAUCGGCUAACGCCGUGCCAGCAGCCGCGGUAAUACGGAGGAUCCGAGCGUUAUCCGGAUUUCUUGGGUUUAAAGGGAGCGUAGAUGGGUUGUUAAGUCAGUUGUGAAAGUUUGCGGCUCAAACGUAAAAUUGAAAUUGAUACUGGCAGCAUUGAGUCCAGUAGAGGUAGGCGGAAUUCGUGGUGUAGCGGUGAAAUGCUUAGAUAUCACGAAGAACUCCGAUUGCGAAGGCAGCCUACUAAACUGCCACUGACAUUGAUGCUCGAAAGUGUGGGUAUCAAACAGGAGUAGAUACCCUAGUAGUC